rnacentral:rRNA from 1 species
UACGAAGGGGGCUAGCGUUGCUCGGAAUUACUGGGCGUAAAGGGUGCGUAGGCGGCGCGGUAAGUCGGGUGUGAAAUCUCGGGGCUUAACUCCGAAACUGCAUUCGAUACUGCCGUGCUUGAGGACUGGAGAGGAGACUGGAAUUUACGGUGUAGCGGUGAAAUGCGUAGAUAUCAGGAGGAACACCGGUGGCGAAAGCGCUCGUCUGGCCCAAUACUGACGCUGAUGCGCGAAAGCUAGGGGAGCAAACGGG